rnacentral:rRNA from 1 species
CCCCCUCAAGAUGAGAUUUCCCAACUUCGGUUAUAAGAUCCCUCAAAGAUGAUGAGGUUAAUAGGUUCGAGGUGGAAGCAUGGUGACAUGUGGAGCUGAUGAAUACUAAUCGAUCGAAGACUUAAUCAAAA